AAAGCUUCGUGGUUCUGCCUCAAGCAUUGUCAUUAUUGGUCACCAGCAUAUACCUACAAAUAUCGUUUUAAUAGUAAAUACGAGCUAAUAUACCUGAACAUGCAAAACAGAACAAGUAUGAGAAAUCUUUUUCCAUGGAAGCUCAAUGUUGCACUUUAAAAUUUGAUUAGAAAUUUCAACAAAUAAAUCCAUUAGAAAUUUUUUUACAAGAUUGGAAAAAUUGGAAGCAGUUGAUUUGAGAAAAUAUAUUAUUUAUGAUGGGUUGACAGGAAGAGUACUUAAAUUCCAGAGGAGUAAUCGGGUUAUAGCCUGAUGGCAGAAUAAUUAUGUAUCCACCGUCAAAGAAAGCAUCUUUCUAGGGACUCGAUGCGCGUUCUUAUAGAACCCCCAUAUGUGCGUACCUAUAUAAUUAAGAAACACAAUUACUUACUUCAAAAUUUUUUCAAUGAGAAAACUAAAAAUUUUUCUUAAAUUUUCUGGGAUUAAAAAAUUGUAUCUAUCUGACGCGAUAAUGAAUAUUAUUAAUUAUUUUGUAAAUUAAUGAAUAUUAUUGAAGGAUUAAUGGUUGCUUCAAAUUCAGAAUUGGAGAUAAGAAUAUACAUGUAAGCAUUAAAUUAAGAAAACCAGAAAUUUUAAGAAUAUUUUUUAUUCAAGAGCGAGCUCCUUGCCCCACGGUCAUACUUGUCGAGCACCAUUGACUUUAUAUUAUCCAAAAAAUUCUUCAACACUAAGAGUUGUCACACAUUUGACAUGAGGCAUGUAGAAUUUUUAAUAAACGGACCUGCUAAAAUUCUAAUUACA